rnacentral:rRNA from 1 species
UACAGGGGGUGCAAACGUUGCUCGGAAUCAUUGGGCGUAAAGCGCACGUAGGCGGUUCGUUAUGUCGGAUGUGAAAGCCCUUGGCUUAACCGAGGAAGUGCAUCCGAAACUGGCGGACUUGAAUAUGGAAGAGGGUCGCGGAAUUCCCGGUGUAGAGGUGAAAUUCGUAGAUAUCGGGAGGAACACCAGUGGCGAAGGCGGCGACCUGGGCCAAUAUUGACGCUGAGGUGCGAAAGCGUGGGGAGCAAACAGG